UCUGACCUCUGCAGCACUCACCUCCUGGCUGUGCAAACACCAUGUGGAGAUCCAUGCAUGGCCUGGCUGAACACAGCUGGCUGAAGUGGCAAUACCUAACCCUAACCCAAUAUUUUACAAUAAAAAAUGCAAAUUUGUUUCUGUCUUUCUCUGGCUCACAGACUGUAGCUUGGAUUCAGGAAUUAUUUUGUCCACAUCUUUAACAGAACCCUCUUCCAGCCACCCAGGCCUGACUCCUCCUGACUUUCAACACAGGCUGUUGGGAACAGAGACAUGGAGCCGAGGCUGGAGUGGCUGAUAGCUGGUAGGCUACACGUAAAACAUUUGCAAAUAUAAUCCUUUCAUACAUCGUCAGUUAACAUUUGGCUUUGGAUCUUUAUGUUUGUAUUUAUCGUUUUCACUCUGGGGUGUAGAUCAAGAUAGAGAUCAAGAUGACCAAAAUGUCGGCGGUUGGAUCCCUGUCUCCAUAUGUUGAAGUUGAAUGCAAGUGGUCAUCAAGUCAUCAAGACUUGAAAAGUGUGACACAUCUUUGCUCAAUUUUAGGCUGUCCAAGACAAAAGAUGACAAACAUUAAAGAAUCAUGGCAAUAUCUUGCAUAUCAUGCCAUGGCUCCAGGAGCAUGAUCCUAUGUUGUAGUGAGAGAGAGGUUUAAAAAAAGACACCAGACAUUCUCAAAAUACUGCUUUGACCAAUGUAGACUAACCAAUCAACAGCAAUGCAGCAUGAAAGGAGACCCUGAUCAAUGCAAUACUGAUUGGCAGCCAUACUGUGUACACAUUGCAGUUGAUGCUAGCAUCCACAUACGUCAAACAUACAAAUAAGCCUGUACAUUAUUUGAUAUGGUUCACCAUGAAUAAGUGAAUGAUGAAUUAAGUCCUGACAGGCAACAAUAGGAACAUGGUGUGCCACUGUGGGAGAAGACGUUGUUGCACUGAAGGCUUGUAAUAGCUGAAUGUUCCCUGAGCUCAACCAUGAAAUAAGUCCUGACUUCCACCCUUGACUUAACUCCAUCCCUGAAUGCAGAAUGUAUCUCUGGAGAACAAUGGAAAACAGACAGAGAUUAAUAACAAAGAAAAGUACAAAUAUUUGCAGCGAGAAAGACGAGAUUUCAUUUAAAUCUGCUUUUCAAUAUAUUAAGGUAAUCAAUUAUUUUUCUGCCUCACUGGAAAAAAUACUUCCCAACAGUUAGGGUGAAUUGCUUCAUCAAGCUGAUGCAGGAAAUGACACAGACACAGGGGUGUGACUGUACAUCUAGGCAGAUAAACUACGGCUAGGGUUACUAAUUCAAAUAAAGUUUUUAAUGGGUACAAAUACAAUCGAUAGAAGGUUUCUUCAGGUUCCUAUGAGUGAUGAAAUAUGAUCUGAAUAUUUGACACAGAUAUAUCAUUCUGCAAAUUAAAGUUUCAUGAGCACCAAAGACUUAAAUAAAGUUGGUCAGAUAAAAAAAAAAGAGGUGUGACCAACACAGAUGAUUAUCGUAUUGUUUCUGUGUGAUUUAAAUGUUCGAACAAACCCUCCCAGUGACUCAGCAUGUAUCAGCAUACAUCCAGCAGUCCUUUCAUAUUAUUAGGUACACUGGUGUCAAAGAUCGUGGUCCAUUACGGGUCCUCACAGAAUGAACAGAGGAUACUGUACUGCUCCAUGUCAUUAAGGCAUGACCAAAAGGUUUUGGUAAAAAGCUAAACAAAAUAACUGUGACGCUCAGUCAUUUAUGUUUAUGGUUUUCUGUCUCGUUGUGUUUUCUACUUCCUGUUUUAUUUUGUAGCUUCGCUUUCACUGUGUCUUGUUCCAGCUUCUCGGUGUCUCACUUCCUGUCUUUGAUUGUCGUCCCCAAUCCUCAUGUGUUUGACCUGUGUGUAAUUGCCCCUGCCUUCCUUCUUGUAUUUAAGCCUCUGUGUUUCCCUUUGUGCUCUGUCGGUUUGUACUCGUUGUUUUCUACCCGUUUCCACACGGGUCAGAUAAGGUUUAUUUGUUCGUUCCUGCUGUCUCGACCAGCUUCCUCGUUCCUUGUUCUCCGUGCGCCUUGACGCCAGAGUUACUUGUGUUAGUGUUCCUGUUUGUUUUUGUCUUGUUUAAAGACUCUUUUUAUAUUAAAUACCUUUUUGUUUGUUACCUCUGCAUCCUGGGUCCAUCUCCUCCCUCAAACCGUAACAAUAACUGCGUUUAGAAAAAAUCUUUUCAAUUACAGUUUAGCAUAAAGCUUUUAAAAUCUUAACAUCUUCUUGAUCAACAAAAGCCGAAGACAAAUGAAUUUAAACACAAAGUCUGCUCUGGCACACAGUCAGGGGGAGUGUUAGCAGCACAAGAUGUGAUUCAGAACAUCCCUUCAUUUCCUGCGCAGCUCUUAGUCACAAUUAUGAGUGGUACGUGUGUGUUGUAUGGCGUACGCUCUGACCAUUGUUCACACCAGUAUUGCCAGUGUUGCAGCAACAGGAAUGCUGCAGGGUUUACACAACCAUCCCCUUUAUUUGGUGACAGUUCACAUGGAACGAGGUCACCUGCAUGUAGUUGAGCCUAUAUCGACUAGAACACUACAUCAAAAUGACAACAUACCAUUAGAAUCCUGAUCAAUCAUUCAAUCAAUCAAAUUUCGUAUAGCCCAUAUUCAUGAAUCACAAUUUGCCUGAUAGCUCUUAACAAAGUGUGACAUCCUCCGUCCUUAAUCCUCAACAAGAGUCAGGAAAAACUAUGAAAAAAAAAAAGAACAUAGAAACCUCAGAGAGAGCCACAUGUGAGGGAUCCC